GUACAACAGAAAAGGCUCCUCUAGGGUGUUCUGGCUCAUCCCCGGUAGAAAGGGGGUGAGACUAUGACAGCAUUUGAAGCUUUGAUGUUGAUGCUAACCUUUGGCAUCUUAAUCGUGGCUAGGUUGUCGCAUAAUAGAAAGAAAUAGACCUCCCUUGAGCCUAGAAGCAACGGGAGGUCUACUCUUUUGCAGUAACCUUGAGCCAGCCCUUUAGAGGGCAACUGUUGUACUUUGACUGUGGGUGUUCGUAGCACCCACA
rnacentral:sRNA from 1 species